GUUGACCUCGGAUCAGGUAGGACUACCCGCUGAACUUAAGCAUAU
rnacentral:rRNA from 4 species